CCUACGGGAGGCAGCAGUGAGGAAUAUUGGUCAAUGGCCGGAAGGCUGAACCAGCCAAGCCGCGUGAAGGACGAAGGUGCCAAGCAUUGUAAACUUCUUUUGUCAAGGGACAAAAUCAGGCUCGAGAGCCUGACCGAGGGUACUUGAAGAAAAAGCAUCGGCUAACUCCGUGCCAGCAGCCGCGUUAAUACGGUGGAUCCGAGCUUUAUCCGGAUUUAUUGGGGUUAAAGGGUGCGUGGGCGGACUGUUAUGUCAGCGGUAAAAGCCCGGGGCUCAACCCCGGCGGGCCGUUGAAACUGGCAGUCUUGAGAUGGCGAGAGGUAUGCGGAAUGCGCAGUGUAGCGGUGAAAUGCUUAGAU
rnacentral:rRNA from 1 species